GUAGAUGAUCUUGUGUGUUCGGUGUUUCCGUUUGUAGCCUCUAAGGUGAGGAUUUGCCGCCUAAUAGGUCGCUCUUGUCUGAGUUGUUGGCUUUUUUUGGGGCCACGCAACUUGGUAACGCCCGCUCGGGC
rfam:Wolinella succinogenes DSM 1740, complete genome